UCUCUAAUUUCCUCAACUUGGCAGACCAACCCCAGCCAUAUAUAAUAUAUACUAAAAAUCAGCAUGUUGCAUGUAUCGUGAUGAUGUAUCAGAUACAUCCAGUUGUUUUCCUAACAGUGCAUGAACAAUACUUCUCCUAAAACGGUGCAUGUAUGGGCAAUAUUUAAUCUCUAGAGCCAACUGGAAAGAGCUAUACGCCUAUAUGCCUGCACACACUAGGGCUAAGCCUAGAAGCCUAGAAGCCUAGAAGCCUAGAAGCUAUAGAGUAUGGUGCCUCAAUAGUAAUACCCAACAUACCCAUUUCCCUUUCAAAUGACAACAGCCCGAUCAAAGCAUACAAUUAUAUAUACGCAUAUCAUAUGAAACCCUAGUUCUAGCUAGCAGCCUUCUGGUAUGGGCUGCACUGCAGUGCACAAAGCUGAAUGGUUCUGAUAACAUGCUAGACAUGGUGAUGGUGUACAUAUAAUUUAUCUGUAAAUCUGAUACAUAUAUAUAUCCUGAACAUAAGGUAACAGCACAUUUGAGAGUGAACCAGGCUAGGCGCGCAGAGAGAGAGAGAGAGAGAGAGAGAGUAUGAAUGAAUGAAAUGGAACCCACUGUUUUUGGAUAUAGUGGUAAAGUUUUGGUAACGUGGGGGGAUUUAAUUUCAGAUUUGAGACAUCACAUGUCAUGUCUUUGAUAAUAAUAAUUUGGUUUUACGGUUUUGGAGUCUUGUGCCUAACAAACGUGCACAUAUCGUUGAGUUGAAAUUACCUUUCUGCAGGUACAGAUGCUGUCGUUGCUCUUCUCUUUGUUUUUUUAUAAAGAAACUUUCUUUUCCUUGAAUUCUUUCAUAUAAAACUGCUCGUCCAAGUAGCAUCACAAAGAACAAGUGUUAGCCUUAUAUCACUUCUAGGUCAAUUUAUGCAUCAGUAAUUGAGCAAAAUAUAUGGCUAUACUUAUUAUGAGCCUCAUUUGUGGAAACAAGCAGGCAGAGGCCAUUUCAUAAUCAAUUCCCAUUCACACUAUAUCAUCUCGUGCUCUUAUAAGUUUGCAUGAUUCUGACUGCAUGGCUCUUCAAUGGUACACUUCCUUGUGUCCUCUCCUGCCCUCUUGCUUUAUAUAGGGCGAACCCCACAUACCCACUCUCUACUAAAUUUGCUCUAGGCCGUCCGGUACCAAUCAUUUCUUUCCAUUCUCUCAUCCAUUAUUUGGAAAUUUUUAUUAAUUGUGAUCGUAACACUAUUUUAUAAUCAGGUGCAUAAAUAAUUACUUUUAACUAUUUGAACUAUAAAUUUCUAAUGCUAAAUCACUACUAUUGAAGUGCCGAAAAUUAAACGAGGAACGUCAAAAUCACUAUCCUUUACUUUUUCCACACGCACACUUCAAAUUGUGUUACAAAUUCAGUCAAUUGUUCAUAAAAAAACAACAACAGCAUGAUAAAGAACAGCUUGAUAUGCAAAAGGGUUUCUAGUGGAAGUUGAUUUUUGACUAAAAAGAAUACGGUAUCUUCAUUCAUUGGGGCAUGAAUUUUAAUUUUCACAGGAUUUGGAGACCAAAAUUCCAUGCAUCACAUGGAGAGUGGUGAGGGGGUGGUCCGUUCUGAGGCCAAAUCCGAUUUUGACGACCCACUCCCACGUGGGCUGGUCUUUGGCGCCUGACUCUGGUGGUGGCUUCGGACAGAAUGACAUAAAUACCCUCGUAUGCAUGAUCAGUUGUCCAGUCACCAAAUGACAACAAAAUCACUGCAAGGAUGAUUGGGAUCCCCGGGGGGGCAUCCCCAUAUCAUCUAAGGCCGCGAAAAACGGCCGUCUCUUUCUGCAAAUUUGUCUUGUCCUUUUCGAUCCUAACAGCUGAGGCUGCUCCAUGGAGGAGGGGUAUUUUUGUCUUUUCAUCCUUUCGCCCCUAGGUUAAUUUUGCGUAGAGUAUUUAAUGGGAUAGUCCUUUGAUUGAUGGGAAAUUUUUGGGGUGGACCUCGUCGUCACUCGUUCGGCAUCCCUCGCAAUCACAGGCGUGUCCUCUGCAUUUCAGUCUCAUACGGCCUCAUGUCAGUCGUUCUAUUAACGUAGCGACGGGGGCUUAUGAGAGGUGCCGAACCAAUAUAGGGUUUAGGAAGAACAACCAUGAAAAAUGGCUUUGUUGGAUGAAGUAUUGUUGAACUCAAAGUGAUGUUUUAUGCCAACUUUCUAGCACAUCUUAGAAGUUUGCAUGUUAUUUCUUCUCUUUUUUCUCAUUAUUUAUAAUUUGAUUGUUUUGGUAUUUUUUUCACUUUAAAUCCAAUCCGUCAUGUUGCAAAUUAA